GCCCCGGUAGCAUAAUUGGAUAAUGCAACGGUUUUCUAAACCGUAGAUUCCAGGUUCGAGUCCUGGUCGGGGCG
rfam:Parcubacteria group bacterium RIFCSPLOWO2_02_FTLL_40_12 rifcsplowo2_02_scaffold_5668, whole genome shotgun sequence.